CUGAGGUCUGACAGACGACCCCAGGGGCAGUCACCCACUGGUCACGCACAGAGACUAAACCCCAGCGUCCUCGGUUCCGUGCUAGCGUGGCCGCUGCAGUCUGAAACGUUCCCCCUGUGCCCUGAGACGCGGGGCUGUGUCUGCAAAGCACGGAGACGCGGUUCCGGCGCAGGCCGGUGUGCGUGUGACAUCUCACUGCAGGAGGGACACAUGGACAUCAGUCCUCCUCCCUGCCCUCCCCCGCCCGGGCUGGCAUUUAGCUCCUGGGAUGUCGGUUGACGUGUUCGAUCUGCAUCAGGGCACCGGGCAGCCAGGAAGGAAGGAAGCCCCAUGACACCUUGGCUGUGGCCUCCGAGGACUCAGAGAGGAGGACCCAGCUGACCAGGACCAGACGCCCAACAGGGAGGCUGUGAUGGAGAGGAGCGAGAAGCCGAAGCCGGGAGAUAGCGCGGAGAGCCAGUGCCGCAGAUGGCGUCACUUGGAGGACUGGGGACCUGGGACAAUUCAUCAUCACACCAGACGCUUCGGUCGGCGAGAUCAGAGCAACCGCCCUUAUCUGUCUACACUCAGCCACUGAGCCGCCUCUUCGGCAUCCAGACAAACGUUUCAUUAGCUGCCAUUCAUCAGCAAAUUGGGGUAAAGCCAUAGCCACACUGUGGUUUUCCGUUUAUGAACGGAUGGAACUACAGCACGGAUGUGGGUGGCUACCUUCUUUUACACGACACAAACCGGGUCAGAUGGCCGUGGCACGACCGAGCUGCCUGUCAGGACUUCACCGUUGUCAGCGAUGUCUCUGACUUCGUUGCUGAAUCAGCCGAUCAACAGACACUGCACCAGGCCCUGUUCCGAGCUUGCCGAUGUCCAGGGUGAAACCGCUCCCACCAUGGCCAGUUCCGAGUUGCCAACGUGACAUCACGGGAUGAGCGGUUGGGGGAGGCACGCGGUAGUGUUAGGGCAGGUGUAGGUGGGCAGCGCUAACCACGGGAAAAGGGCAGGGGCUGGGGGCAACAAUGAGGAGGACAAUGAGCUUCUAGAACCAAACCCGCAACACAGGAACUUGGGGUUGGGGACGUCCCGGCCAGGAGCACGCGCAGAAGCACAGUAGAAACUACACCCACCAGCACAGUCUCAGUUUACAGUUGUCAUGGCAACCCCUGGAGGUUACCCUAUAAGGAUAAAAUGGGGGGGGGGCUUAGUGUCAAUGGGGAAAGGUCACCUGGGGACAGGAGCUCCUGGCUUCUGGGCUUAGUUCUAAUAACUCUCCACCCUUUUCCCAGAGAAAUAAUGAAUAUUCCACGCACCAUCUAGCACAUCAUAAGGAGCAGACAUAAACGUAGAGGAAAUCAGCCUCGGGAGCCGAGCAGGAGCCUCAGAGCGGAGGUCCAGGGCUAAGGCAGCCCCGGGCCACAGAGUGCUGUCUUCCCUGGGGGUGGUGACCAGUCCAGGAAACACCUCCAAGUAUGGGUCUGGUGGCAAUGAAUUCUUCCACUCUUUCUUCAUCUGAAAAAAGACUUUUCUCAUGUUUAUUUUAUAAUAAAAAAAAUACUUUUACUUGACACAGGA